GAGUUUGAUCUUGGCUCAGAUUGAACGCUGGCGGCAGGCCUAACACAUGCAAGUCGAGCGGUAGAGAGAAGCUUGCUUCUCUUGAGAGCGGCGGACGGGUGAGUAAUGCCUAGGAAUCUGCCUGGUAGUGGGGGAUAACGCUCGGAAACGGACGCUAAUACCGCAUACGUCCUACGGGAGAAAGCAGGGGACCUUCGGGCCUUGCGCUAUCAGAUGAGCCUAGGUCGGAUUAGCUAGUUGGUGAGGUAAUAGGCUCACCAAGGCGACGAUCCGUAACUGGUCUGAGAGGAUGGUCAGUCACACUGGAACUGAGACACGGUCCAGACUCCUACGGGAGCAGCAGUGGGAAUAUUGGACAAUGGGCGAAAGCCUGAUCCAGCCAUGCCGCGUGUGUGAAAGAAGGUCUUCGGAUUGUAAAAGCACUUUAAGUUGGAGGAAGGCAGUAAAUUAAUACUUUGCUGUUUUGACGUUACCGACAGAAUAAGCACCGGCUAACUCUAGUGCCAG
rnacentral:rRNA from 1 species